CUACGGGAUGCACCAGUGGGGAAUUUUGCGCAAUGGGGGAAACCCUGACGCAGCAAUACCGCGUGAGUGAAGAAGGCCUUUGGGUCGUAAAGCUCUUUUCUUGGGGAAGAUAGUGACGGUACCCAAGGAAUAAGCACCGGCUAACUCCGUGCCAGCAGUCGCGGUAAUACGGAGGGUGCAAGCGUUGUUCGGAUUUACUGGGCGUAAAGGGCACGUAGGCGGCACAGCAAGUUAAGGGUGAAAUCCCGGGGCUCAACUCCGGAACUGCUCUUAAAACUGCUGAGCUAGAGAUAGUCAGAGGCGGGUGGAAUUCCAGGUGUAGAGGUGAAAUUCGUAGAUAUCUGGAGGAACACCGGUGGCGAAGGCGGCCCGCUGGGGCUAUUCUGACGCUAAGGUGCGAAAGCGUGGGGAGCAAACGGGAUUAGAUACCCCAGUAGUC
rnacentral:rRNA from 1 species